rnacentral:rRNA from 1 species
GACGGAGGAUGCGAGCGUUAUCCGGAAUGAUUGGGCGUAAAGCGUCCGCAGGUGGCAGUUCAAGUCUGCUGUCAAAGACCGGGGCUUAACUUCGGAAAGGCAGUGGAAACUGAACAGCUAGAGUAUGGUAGGGGCAGAGGGAAUUCCUGGUGUAGCGGUGAAAUGCGUAGAUAUCAGGAAGAACACCGGUGGCGAAGGCGGCUCUCUGGACCGAUACUGACGCUGAGGCGCGAAAGCGUGGGGAGCAAACAGG